GGCAGAGUGGCUUAGUGGAAAAGAACAUGGCCCUGGUAGUCAGAGGACUUGGAUUCUAAUCCCAGCUCUGCCA
rnacentral:tRNA from 1 species